rnacentral:lncRNA from 1 species
GGAUUCCAACCGUCGAAGUCUUCAAAACUAGAUCACAUGUUGAUAGGUUUUGACAAACUUUUUUUUCACACACAAAAAAACAAACGGAAAAACCGUGCCUCUCAUGGAAGGAAAAAAAUGUGUUCUAUUUUUAUUUUUCCGAGAUGCACGAUCGUGCCUCUCGCGAAAGAAAUAGAAAACGUGUUUUUUCAUUUCUGAGACGAACCGUCGUGCCUCUCAAGAAAGUAUAUCCGUGUCAAUCGCGGAAGCAAAACCAUGCUUUUCAAGAAACAAUAAAACAUGUCUUUUAGCGCAAAAAAGGUAUUUUUCGUCCAAAAUCUAAGAAAGACCGAUGAAAAACUGAAACCCCAAAAAAACACG